rnacentral:rRNA from 1 species
GGGUUGGGCUGUUCGCCCAUUAAAGCGGUACGCGAGCUGGGUUCAGAACGUCGUGAGACAGUUCGGUCCCUAUCCGUCGCGGGCGUAGGAAAUUUGAGAGGAGCUGCCCUUAGUACGAGAGGACCGGGGUGGACGUACCUCUGGUGUAUCAGUUGUUCCGCCAGGAGCAUCGCUGAGUAGCUAUGUACGGAUGAGAUAAACGCUGAAAGCAUCUAAGUGUGAAACUCGCCUCGAGAUGAGAUUUCCCAUUCUUUAUGAAGUAAGACCCCUCAGAGAUGAUGAGGUAGAUAGGCUAGAAGUGGAAGUGCGGCGACGCAUGGAGCGGACUAGUACUAAUGGUUCGAGGACUUAACCAA